GGAGAAGCAGAGUUGAAAUCGUCUCUGAAACAGCUGGAAAAGGCCGAUGGAGGAAUACAACAUAUCUUGGCAACUACACUAAUUGUGAGACUCUGAUUCCGUGGAAUGGAUUGACUACUUGUUGUGAUGCCAUUAAUACAACAGUGCCAGAUGGAGUCAAUAAAUACUGGGCUUGCAGUCAAAUGCAGAUCAUGGUACAGUUUGCCAACUCCUCGAAAAAAGGAGGUAUGACAUACCUAAUAUGUGGCUCAUAUGUGGUAGAAGGGCUUACCGACAGACUCCAUGAAAUUGGCAAGGCAUAUGUACUUUGGGAUUGUUGGCCCUGGCUAUAUAUACUAUGAAAAAAUUACCUAGUGGAAGAAUUCGAAAUAAACGAGACACCUUCUCCGAAUGCCCCCUGACAUUGGAAGGAUCAUCCUGGACUCAAUUUUCUAGAGGUGUUCUCCCUCCACUAGGCAUUGCAAUGAAUUAUAGAGAUUUGCAUAAGUUAAAUAAUUGGACUGUUGUUACGUUUAAUGAAACUAUUACUGCUCUAAAAUUAAUCAAUCAGGAACUGGGGGAAAUACGUAGUGUAACAUUACAGAAUCGUUUUGCUUCGGAUAUUAUUUUGGCUACAAAAGGUGGUGUUUGUGCUUUGAUUCAUUCACAUUGUUGCAUGUACAUUCAUGAUAAUCAACCUAAUAUUUCUGCCACAGUGGAAAAAAUGGAGUCCUUGAUACGUAACAACCCCCUGAAUAGUGAUGGCUCUGGUACCAUCGACUUAUGGGGGGCUUUGUGGUCCUGACUACCUGAUGGCUCCUGGCUGAGGUCACUGAUUCCUGUGAUAAUAACCAUCAUUGUAUUGCUGGUGUUACUUUGUUGUUGUAGUCAAUGCCUCCCAUCCUUGCUACAAACGUGCAAAACCCUUCUUCCCUCUAAUAGGGCGGACGCUCUGGCCAUGGAAACCAAGGUCCGUCUGAACUUAGAGGAAGUCUCCGUUGAUAAUAGAAAAAAGGAGGAGAUGUGGGAAUAAUUACAGAGAAAUGCUCCCACAGGAUGUCCCAUAGUGUACAUGAAACAAUGAAAGCGCAUGGGAAUGUGGAAAACAGGAUGAAUGAAUCCUAAAAAUAACUGGCCAUAGGCAACUCUGGCCGCCUAAGUGAUAACAUUGUAUGCUAAUGAAUGUGCUAAUAAAAGAGAGUCACAGAAUGAGUUCUGAGCUCUCACCCCGAGACA